rnacentral:rRNA from 1 species
UUGAAGUUCCUAGUGGCGGACGGGUUAGUAACACGUGAGUAACUUGCCUCAGAGUGGGGGAUAGUCCUGGGAAACUGGGUUUAAUACCGCAUACGCUCUUCGGAGUAAAGCCGGCUUAUGCUGUCGCUUUAGGAUGGGCUCGCGGCCUAUCAGCUAGUUGGUGAGGUAAUGGCUCACCAAGGCGAUGACGGGUAGCUGGUCUGAGAGGACGACCAGCCACACUGGAACUGAGACACGGUCCAGACACCUACGGGUGGCAGCAGUCGAGAAUCAUUCGCAAUGGGGGAAACCCUGACGGUGUGACGCCGCGUGGAGGAUGAAGGCCCUAGGGUCGUAAACUCCUGUCAUCAGAGAGUAAGGCUUAUUGGUUAAUAACCGGUAAGAUUGAUAGUAUCUGAAGAGGAAGGGACGGCUAACUCCGUGCCAGCAGCCGCGGUAACACGGAGGCCCCGAGCGUUGUUCGGAUUUACUGGGCGUAAAGAGUGCGUAGGCGGCGAGGUAAGUCAGAUGUGAAAUCUCGGGGCUCAACCCCGAAACUGCAUCCGAUACUACCUGGCUAGAGUAGUGGAGAGGUAAUCGGAAUUUUUGGUGUAGCAGUGAAAUGCGUAGAUAUCAUCAGGAAGACCAAUGGCGAAGGCAGGUUUCUGGACAGCUCCUGACGCUGAGGCACGAAGGCCAGGGUAGCGAAAAGGAUUAGAUACCCUUGUAGUCCUGGCAGUAAACGGUGUGCGCUUGGUGUGGGAGGUUUCGACCCCUUCCGUGCCGGAGCUAACGCGUUAAGCGCACCGCCUGGGGAGUACGGCCGCAAGGCUAAAACUCAAAGAAAUUGACGGGGACCCGCACAAGCGGUGGAGCAUGUGGUUUAAUUCGAUGAUACGCGAAGAACCUUACCAAGGCUUGACAUGUAUUGCUAAGCACGUGAAAGCGUGUGACCCUUCGGGGACCUUACACAGGUGCUGCAUGGCCGUCGUCAGCUCGUGUCGUGAGAUGUUUGGUUAAGUCCAGCAACGAGCACAACCCCUGAAGUAUUGCCAGCACGUAAUGGUGGGGACUCUAUUCAGACUGCCCGGGUCAACCGGGAGGAAGGUGGGGAUGACGUCAGGUCAGUAUGGCCCUUACGCCUUGGGCUGCACACGUACUACAAUGCCCAGAACAAUGAGAACCGAUCCCGCGAGGAGGAGGAAAUCUACAAAACUGGGCCCAGUUCGGAUUGGAGGCUGCAACUCGCCUCCAUGAAGUUGGAAUCGCUAGUAAUGGCACAUCAGCUACGGUGCCGUGAAUACGUUCCCGGGUCUUGUACACAACGCCCGUCACAUCAUGGAAGCCGAUCGCACCCGAAGUAUCUGUGUCAACAUUGGCAGGGUCCUAAGG